CAAUUUCCCAUCACCUAUUCACGCCGCUAACUCAUCACCUUUUCUCAUUCAUUCUGAUCUCCUCUCAUUUUAUUUUUCUCUUGGGGCAAAAAAUGCUCCAUUCUCUUUCCUCCAAUCAACGAUGUCAACGAAGGCGAAGAACCUUCUUCCGACACUGAAGACAGAGAAAGAGAAGGUCCUAGUUGGAGUUGGAUCGCUUCUCGUGUUCUCAAGACUUGCAUUUCGUAUUCUAGUGGUGUUACUGCCGCUAUUCUUCUCUCUGAACUUUCUCAGGUUAUGCUAUUGAUAAUCAUGGAAGGAAUAUGAAGUACAAGAUACACUAUUAACGUAUGAUCGUAUGGAGUAUAUACUUAUAAAUGAUUCAAUAAGCUACCACUUGUAAAUUCUAGAAAUUAUUUUGUAAAUUUCAAUAAUUAAUAUAUAUGUUGGUUUGUUUAAUUAUAUA